rnacentral:rRNA from 1 species
GACGAACGCUGGCGGCGUGCCUAAUACAUGCAAGUCGAACGCUUUUUCUUUCACCGGAGCUUGCUCCACCGAAAGAAAAAGAGUGGCGAACGGGUGAGUAACACGUGGGUAACCUGCCCAUCAGAAGGGGAUAACACUUGGAAACAGGUGCUAAUACCGUAUAACACUAUUUUCCGCAUGGAAGAAAGUUGAAAGGCGCUUUUGCGUCACUGAUGGAUGGACCCGCGGUGCAUUAGCUAGUUGGUGAGGUAACGGCUCACCAAGGCAACGAUGCAUAGCCGACCUGAGAGGGUGAUCGGCCACACUGGGACUGAGACACGGCCCAGACUCCUACGGGAGGCAGCAGUAGGGAAUCUUCGGCAAUGGACGAAAGUCUGACCGAGCAACGCCGCGUGAGUGAAGAAGGUUUUCGGAUCGUAAAACUCUGUUGUUAGAGAAGAACAAGGAUGAGAGUAAAAUGUUCAUCCCUUGACGGUAUCUAACCAGAAAGCCACGGCUAACUACGUGCCAGCAGCCGCGGUAAUACGUAGGUGGCAAGCGUUGUCCGGAUUUAUUGGGCGUAAAGCGAGCGCAGGCGGUUUCUUAAGUCUGAUGUGAAAGCCCCCGGCUCAACCGGGGAGGGUCAUUGGAAACUGGGAGACUUGAGUGCAGAAGAGGAGAGUGGAAUUCCAUGUGUAGCGGUGAAAUGCGUAGAUAUAUGGAGGAACACCAGUGGCGAAGGCGG